rnacentral:rRNA from 1 species
UACGAAGGGGGCUAGCGUUACUCGGAUUGACUGGGCGUAAAGGGCGCGUAGGCGGUUUGUACAGUCAGACGUGAAAUUCCUGGGCUCAACCUGGGGGCUGCGUUUGAUACGUGCAGACUUGAGUUCGGAAGAGGGUCGUGGAAUUCCCAGUGUAGAGGUGAAAUUCGUAGAUAUUGGGAAGAACACCGGUGGCGAAGGCGGCCGACCUGGUCCGGAUACUGACGCUGAGGCGCGAAGCGUGGGGAGCGAACGG